rnacentral:lncRNA from 1 species
GCAAGCCCACGGCCGACGUGUGCGGCAUCCACAUCCCGCACAUCAGCCUCCACCGCGCCGACCUCGUCGUGGACGUGCUCAUCAAGAACCCGAACCCGGUCCCGAUCCCGCUCGUGGACAUCGACUACCUCAUCGACAGCGACGGCCGCAAGCUGGUGUCGGGCCUCAUCCCGGACGCCGGCACCAUCCACGCGCACGGCCAGGAGACCGUCAAGAUCCCGGUGUCGCUCGUCUUCGACGACAUCAAGAGCACCUACAAGGACAUCCAGCCGGGCAGCAUCAUCCCCUACCUCGUCCGCGUCGUGCUCCUCGUCGACGUCCCCAUCAUCGGCCGCGUCAAGAUCCCGAUCCAGAAGGACGGCGAGAUCCCCAUCCCUUACAAGCCCGACGUCGACGUGGAGAAGAUCAAGUUCCACCACUUCUCCUUCGAGGAGACCACCGCCACGCUCCACCUCAAGCUCGAGAACAAGAACGACUUCGACCUCGGCCUCAACCUGCUCGAGUACGAGAUGUGGCUCGGCGACGACAGCAUCGCCUCCGCCGAGCUCACACAGACCGCCAAGAUCGAGAAGCAGGGGAUCACCAGGAUGCAGGUGCCCUUCAGCU